CAGAGAUGGUGCCCACCUGCAGGCUCUUUUGGAACUCAGCUGAGCCUACAGGUGAACAAGCCCAGCAGCCCAUGGGGCCAAAUCCCGAAGCAGACCUGGAUUUCAGGGCAGUUUGGUAGCCCAGAGUAAAACGCUGUUAAGAAUAUCACUUUGUGAGCAAAGUUUGUCACUUCACCUUGGCACCGGGGUCUACAGACAAAACCACUGAUGAUCUGAAAGUCAACUUCAAAGGAGAGAUGCCAAUAAAAGCACCAACUGCAAUCA